rnacentral:lncRNA from 1 species
UUUCUCAAACAUUCUCACUGUGAUCUGCUCGGUGCGGGCAGAGGCUGGAACAGGAGGACUUUCUGAUUCACUCGGGUUGUGCCAGCCCUGCGGCAGACCGGGACGGUCAAGGGAAGGUUUAUUCCCUUUCUCUUUCCUCUCCUCGUGAGAGGCCCUGAUCUCGGCCAGGGGGAGCCCCGAGCACCCCGCAUGGGCCGGGCCCCGCCGCCCGCCCUCGGCUCCGGGGCAACCGCGCUGUUGUCCCGAGCCGGGGCCGCGGCGCUGGGAGAGGUGGGAGCGACGGGAAAAGGCGGUGUUGUCCCGGCCCUCCGGAGCUGAGCUUUGUGUCCUUAGGUGCAUCCACCACCGCCUGGUUUGGUGCGUGUUUAGGACUUAGCACUGGUUUAGGAUAUAGCUUUGGCUUUCUGCUCCGCUGUAGAAAUGCAGUGGUGAGUUUGUCCAUCGUGUUUCUGGGGGAACCCGACCGCCAGUCUUCGGAAUAGCCCUGCUCAGGCGACUAAGCCGCUAUAGAAGAUGGAGCACUCAGAUGAAGCAACUUCCAAUAAACGGACUUUGAGAACUUUGUUUCGUCCAGCUACUUUACCUCUACCAGUCAUAUCCAAAACUUCACCAUCACAGAGGAAACUAUUGACAUACCACAGAGACAAGGCGCAGCAAGAGAUGAUUAAUCAGUUACUAAUUGAUCGAGCUCUCAAAGUCUAUUACAUAACCAUGGAUGAAACAGAUCAGAGAGAUGCUGCACCUUCUAUCACAGAACUGCCUUCCACUAGGAAGAAAAUGGAUGAUGAAGAAAGCCAAAAAAGAGUGAGUUAAAUUCUUUCAUUUG